GAUGAACGCUGGCGGCGUGCCUAAUACAUGCAAGUCGAGCGAACGGACGAGAAGCUUGCUUCUCUGAUGUUAGCGGCGGACGGGUGAGUAACACGUGGAUAACCUACCUAUAAGACUGGGAUAACUUCGGGAAACCGGAGCUAAUACCGGAUAAUAUUUUGAACCGCAUGGUUCAAAAGUGAAAGACGGUCUUGCUGUCACUUAUAGAUGGAUCCGCGCUGCAUUAGCUAGUUGGUAAGGUAACGGCUUACCAAGGCAACGAUGCAUAGCCGACCCGAGAGGGUGAUCGGCCACACUGGAACUGAGACACGGUCCAGACUCCUACGGGAGGCAGCAGUAGGGAAUCUUCCGCAAUGGGCGAAAACCUGACGGAGCAACGCCGCGUGAGUGAUGAAGGUCUUCGGAUCGUAAAACUCUGUUAUUAGGGAAGAACAUAUGUGUAAGUAACUGUGCACAUCUUGACGGUACCUAAUCAGAAAGCCACGGCUAACUACGUG
rnacentral:rRNA from 1 species